GAUUAACGCUGGCGGCGUGCAUAACACAUGCAAGUCGAACGAUGAAACUUAACUGAUUUCUUCGGAAUGAUUUUAAGUGGAUUAGUGGCGGACGGGUGAGUAACGCGUGAGUAACCUGCCUUGGAGAAGGGGAUAGCCUUUGGAAACGAAGAAUAAUACCCUAUGAUAUGAUAAUAUCUCAUGAUAUUAUCAUCAAAGAUUUAUCGCUCUAAGAUGGACUUGCGUCUGAUUAGUUAGUUGGUGAGGUAACAGCUCACCAAGGCAGCGAUCAGUAGCCGGCUUGAGAGAGUGUACGGCCACAUUGAGACUGAGACACGGCCCAGACUCCUACGGGAGGCAGCAGUGGGGAAUUUUGCACAAUGGGGGAAACCCUGAUGCAGCGACGCCGCGUGAUUUAGAAGGCCUUCGGGUUGUAAAAAUCUUUUGUAUGGGAAGAAAAUGACAGUACCAUACAAAUAAGGACCGGCUAAUUACGUG
rnacentral:rRNA from 1 species